AAGUUUUAGAGCAAGGCUGGUCUAGGUAACAGACUGAGCUAACAGGAUUAAAUUCAGAGCUAGGCCGGUCUAGGUAACAGACUGAGCUAACAGGAUUAAAUUCAGAGCUAGGCCGGUCUAGGUAACAGACUGAGCUAACAGGAUUAAAUUCAGAGCUAGGCCGGUCUAGGUAACUGACUAUGAAGUAAACAGGAUUAAGUUUUAGAGCAAGGCUGGUCUAGGUAACAGACUGAGCUAACAGGAUUAAAUUCAGAGCUAGGCCGGUCUAGGUAACAGACUAUGGGCUAACAGGAUUAAG